UUGUCGAACAACAAAAUCGCCUUGUUGACGACUGAGGCCAAGACUGAAUUUAAUUUUUUGGGAAAUUUAAUAGACUUGAGGUAUCUCAAUUAGAGGGAGAAUCUAUUAGAAUGUCUGCUUUCGUCCACUGUGGCAAAAAUAGAAGAAGUAAAUUAUAGAAUUAAACAAAUUUCGUUGGUAAUUUUAUCUGAUAUCCCCACACCAUGUCACAUCAUAUAAAAUUUGGAUGAUCAACAGUACAACUGGAUGAAAAAUCGGACGAUUAUAUGCCAUAACAGCUUCCUCUAUUUAUACCAGAGUGUAAGAAAAAUUCACAUUAUGUAAUAGAUUUGUGUUCAAAUUUAGAUACCUCAAGCCUAGUAAAUUGUCCAAAAACUUCAAUUCAAUUUUUGUAUCACUCGUAAACGUUGUUGUUGGGCAAAUCAAGGUCUUGAGGUCUUCUAUUUACAAAAGGAGCUACAUCCAAA